GCCCCUUCCAGCCCCCGCCCUCCAGCCCUAGCCGCAACCCCAACCCCAUGGAGGUCGAGAUCAAGCUCCGGCUCCCGACGCGGCCGCACACCGGCGCCUCUCCUCCUUCCUCGCGCCCCGCCUGCUCCGCACCGACGCCCCCGCGUGGCCAACACCGCCGCCGUCCUGCGAUCCAAGUUCCAACUGACGCAGCCGGAUCUCGUGCGAUCUCACAGCUGCCACCGCCGCCGCCGAACUCACAGUCGGAUUUCGUGCAAUCUCACAGCCGCCGCUGCCGAACUCACAGCUGGAUCUCGUGCGAUCUCGCUGCCUCCGACGUACGGAAGUCUUCACUGUAUGGGAUCGCCGCCACGGUACUGGAUCACCGCCACGGACGUAAGAGGCUGAAGCGCGGCGGGUGGGACAGGGUGUGCGUCGCGUUGCUGGAGAACUUCCUCGAACGAACGCUGUGGUGGUGCCAUUGUCCAUUGAUUUGGACGUCGGUAGAAAAAUUGAGGGAAAUCAAAGUCUGAAGAAUUUAAAAUACUAUGCACUGUGUCUACAAAAAGUCCAAGCUGCCUAUUCCUACAUAAGGAUAAGGAUCCACGAGUGGGUAUUACUUUCACAAUGUUUGUUAGAAUCAUUCUUUAUACGAACUUGGUUGUACUUUCAGCCACAGAGAUGCAAAUUUCAUGGGCUAAUGCAUGAUGUGAUAGCAUAACAGAAUCUGGAGGACCUUCAGACUUGGCUCUUUGCUGGGGCGAAGGGUGUGAAGUGGUUUGCCGCAGAUUCAGAGGCCAUUUGGUUCAUCCAUAAUCUUCAAUGCUCCCUAUCCUGAUGCUUCUAAUUUUCACUGCCCUCGGGUUUUGGAGCAUUGUGUAACUUUAUUUGGUUCAUUGCAGGUGCAGGGAACCUAUUGGAUUUACAUCUUCUACUCUGUAAGUGCCCUUCCCAUUGUACCUCUUUUUUAUGUGUUGAAUCACUGGUUCCCAAGGCUGCCAAAUUGAUCUUUACCAACAAAGCUUGACAAGGCAGUGUUCGAGGGUGUGCCUAGGUGAAACACAUGGUCUCCAUCACCCUUUCCUUCUAGAGCCGGUACCAGUGGCGGUCUUGAAGCGGUGGUGCCUUUCUAUACCAAGACUGGAUACAAAAUAUGGUUGAUUUUUGUUUGCUCUGGCGAUAGGGCGGCAAGACCAGGAUCACAUUCUUGGCCCCAUUUGAAGGAACGACAUUUUCAGGAUUGACGUGGAUUGAUUUUCUUGAACAUGAAGUUAACUACAUGUGAAGCUGAAGCUAAGCCAAUGUGCUUUUCUAGAAGAAGGCCAAGGCACAUCAAUCCAACACCAACCCACCUGCUAUGGAACUAAGGGAGGAAGGAAAAAGAACAUUGCCCCUGAAGGCUCGAGUCGCACAAACAGGAAGCUGAGUUCGGGAAAGGUGGUUGUCUCCUUGACGCACACCAUAGUGCCCAUAUUUUCUAUUCUAAUGUCUUGUUCCUUGGACAGACACCAUGUGCUUUGUGCAGACCAUCAAUGCCUUUUCCUCCUGUUCGGCCAGGAGAUGAAUGCUUUCUAAACAUUGGUAAUAACAAUGAGAUCAGAGAGUACUGCUCUAUUCAUUGCUCUUCUAAAUCUUGUGAGUGCAAGGCAUGCAAAGUGUUAACUGAAACCCCAUGGCCUACUCGCCAUCUCAACUUCCUCUUUGCGCUCGCCGUCAACGCUCCCAUGGGCGGAGCCACAAGGGGAUGGAUGUACAUAUGUACACCCGUUAAUCUAGGGCAUAUUUCCAACACAAGAAGGCCACGGGUAUCAUGGUGGAGAAGGAGGACAACAAUGACAUUGAGGAAGGGCAGACAUGCCGCUCCAUGGCAACUACAAUGACCAGUUCCUUACUCACAAUACUGGAGAUGUUCAUACAACCCCAUAUGCAACAACACAAUUUCCAUUACUUAGCAUGCAUCAUAAUGAAUCAAAUUAGUAUCUCUUUCCUUAUUUUUGGCUAGGAUGGAUUUCCGUUUCUUGUGUAUAUACAGAUUUACUACUACUGCUACAUUGUUACUCCAUUAUACUAAGAGAAUGGGAUCUGGUCUGAUCCUUCCUAUAUGUAGUUGUAUUUCUCA